rnacentral:tRNA from 1 species
GGGCCUUUGGUGUAAUUGGUUAACACACUGUGUAACUUCCCAGUGAAGCAUUCCAGAGAAGCGGGAUCAAAACCUGCGAGGUCCA